rnacentral:rRNA from 1 species
UACGGAGGGUGCAAGCGUUACUCGGAAUCACUGGGCGUAAAGGACGCGUAGGCGGGUUGUCAAGUCAGGUGUGAAAUCCUACAGCUUAACUGUAGAACUGCACUUGAAACUGGCAGCCUAGAGUAUGGGAGGGGGAGAUGGAAUUAGUGGUGUAGGGGUAAAAUCCGUAGAUAUCACUAGGAAUACCUAAAGCGAAGGCGAUCUCCUGGAACAUUACUGACGCUAAGGCGUGAAAGCGUGGGGAGCAAACAGG